rnacentral:rRNA from 1 species
GACGAACGCUGGCGGCGUGCUUAACACAUGCAAGUCGAGCGGAAAGGCCCUUCGGGGUACUCGAGCGGCGAACGGGUGAGUAACACGUGAGUAACCUGCCCCAGACUUUGGGAUAACCCUCGGAAACGGGGGCUAAUACCGGAUACGACACAGCUUCGCAUGGGGUCUGUGUGGAAAGUUUUUCGGUUUGGGAUGGGCUCGCGGCCUAUCAGCUUGUUGGUGGGGUGAUGGCCUACCAAGGCGACGACGGGUAGCCGGCCUGAGAGGGCGACCGGCCACACUGGGACUGAGACACGGCCCAGACUCCUACGGGAGGCAGCAGUGGGGAAUAUUGCACAAUGGGCGGAAGCCUGACGCAGCGACGCCGCGUGAGGGAUGACGGCCUUCGGGUUGUAAACCUCUUUCAGCAGGGACGAAGCGUAAGUGACGGUACCUGCAGAAGAAGCGCCGGCCAACUACGUG